UACGUAGGGUGCGAGCGUUAAUCGGAAUUACUGGGCGUAAAGCGUGCGCAGGCGGCGCGUUAAGACAGGUGUGAAAGCCCCGAGCUUAACUUGGGAAUUGCGCUUGUGACUGGCGUGCUGGAGUGUGGCAGAGGGAGGUGGAAUUCCACGUGUAGCAGUGAAAUGCGUAGAGAUGUGGAGGAACACCAAUGGCGAAGGCAGCCCCCUGGGUCAACACUGACGCUCAUGCACGAAAGCGUGGGGAGCAAACAGG
rnacentral:rRNA from 1 species